rnacentral:rRNA from 1 species
CCUACGGGUGGCAGCAGUGAGGAAUAUUGGUCAAUGGACGAGAGUCUGAACCAGCCAAGUAGCAUGAAGGAUGACUGCCCUAUGGGUUGUAAACUUCUUUUAUAUGGGAAUAAAAUGUUCCACGUGUGGGAUUUUGUAUGUACCAUAUGAAUAAGGAUUGGCUAACUCCGUGCCAGCAGCCGCGGUAAUACGGAGGGUCCGAGCGUUAUCCGGAUUUAUUGGGUUUAAAGGGAGCGUAGGUGGAUUGUUAAGUCAGUUGUGAAAGUUUGCGGCUCAACCGUAAAAUUGCAGUUGAAACUGGCAGUCUUGAGUACAGUAGAGGUGAGCGGAAUUCGUGGUGUAGCGGUGAAAUGCUUAGAUAUCACGAAGAACUCCGAUUGCGAAGGCAGUUCACUGGACUGCAACUGACACUGAGGCUCGAAAGUGUGGGUAUCAAACAGGAUUAGAUACCUGGGUAGUC